rnacentral:rRNA from 1 species
UACGGGAGUGGCAAGCGUUAUCCGGAAUUAUUGGGCGUAAAGCGUCCGCAGGCGGUCUUGUAAGUCUGUUGUUAAAGCGUGGAGCUUAACUCCAUUUCAGCAAUGGAAACUGUAAGACUAGAGUGUGGUAGGGGCAGAGGGAAUUCCCGGUGUAGCGGUGAAAUGCGUAGAUAUCGGGAAGAACACCAGUGGCGAAGGCGCUCUGCUGGGCCAUAACUGACGCUCAUGGACGAAAGCCAGGGGAGCGAAAGGGAUUAGAUACCCCUGUAGUCCUGGCCGUAAACGAUGAACACUAGGUGUCGGGGGAAUCGACCCCCUCGGUGUCGUAGCCAACGCGUUAAGUGUUCCGCCUGGGGAGUACGCACGCAAGUGUGAAACUCAAAGGAAUUGACGGGGGCCCGCACAAGCGGUGGAGUAUGUGGUUUAAUUCGAUGCAACGCGAAGAACCUUACCAGGGUUUGACAUCCUGCGAAUCUCUUGGAAACGAGAGAGUGCCUUCGGGAACGCAGUGACAGGUGGUGCAUGGCUGUCGUCAGCUCGUGUCGUGAGAUGUUGGGUUAAGUCCCGCAACGAGCGCAACCCACGUCGUUAGUUGCCAGCAUUUAGUUGGGCACUCUAGCGAGACCGCCGGUGAUAAACCGGAGGAAGGUGUGGAUGACGUCAAGUCAUCAUGCCCCCUACAUCCUGGGCUACACACGUACUACAAUGCUACGGACAAAGGGCAGCAAACUCGCGAGAGCUAGCAAAUCCCAUAAACCGUGGCUCAGUUCAGAUCGUAGGCUGCAACUCGCCUACGUGAAGGAGGAAUCGCUAGUAAUCGCAGGUCAGCAUACUGCGGUGAAUACGUUCCCGGGCCU